UACGUAGGGUGCAAGCGUUGUCCGGAAUUAUUGGGCGUAAAGAGCUCGUAGGCGGUCUGUCGCGUCUGGUGUGAAAAUCCAGGGCUUAACCCUGGACCUGCAUCGGGUACGGGCAGACUAGAGUGCGGUAGGGGAGAUCGGAAUUCCUGGUGUAGCGGUGAAAUGCGCAGAUAUCAGGAGGAACACCGGUGGCGAAGGCGGAUCUCUGGGCCGUAACUGGCGCUGAGGAGCGAAAGCGUGGGGAGCAAACAGG
rnacentral:rRNA from 1 species